rnacentral:rRNA from 1 species
GACGAACGCUGGCGGCGUGCUUAACACAUGCAAGUCGAACGGAAAGGCCCUGCUUUUGUGGGGUGCUCGAGUGGCGAACGGGUGAUUAACACGUGAGUAACCUGCCCUUGACUUUGGGAUAACUUCAGGAAACUGGGGCUAAUACCGGAUAGGAGCUCCUGCUGCAUGGUGGGGGUUGGAAAGUUUCGGCGGUUGGGGAUGGACUCGCGGCUUAUCAGCUUGUUGGUGGGGUAGUGGCUUACCAAGGCUUUGACGGGUAGCCGGCCUGAGAGGGUGACCGGCCACAUUGGGACUGAGAUACGGCCCAGACUCCUACGGGAGGCAGCANUGGGGAAUAUUGCACAAUGGGCGGAAGCCUGAUGCAGCAACGCCGCGUGCGGGAUGACGGCCUUCGGGUUGUAAACCGCUUUCNCCUGUNACNAAGCGUGAGUGACGGUAAUGGGUAAAGAAGCACCGGCUAACUACGUGCCAGCAGCCGCGGUGAUACGUAAGGUGCGAGCGUUGUCCGGAUUUAUUGGGCGUAAGGGGCUCGUAGGUGGUUGAUCGCGUCGGAAGUGUACUCUUGGGGCUUAACCCUGAGCGUGCUUUCGAUACGGGUUGACUUGAGGAAGGUAGGGGAGAAUGGAAUUCCUGGUGGAGCGGUGGAAUGCGCAGAUAUCAGGAGGAACACCAGUGGCGAAGGCGGUUCUCUGGGCCUUUCCUGACGCUGAGGAGCGAAAGCGUGGGGAGCGAACAGGCUUAGAUACCCUGGUAGUCCACGCUGUAAACGGUGGGUACUAGGUGUGGGGUCCAUUCCACGGGUUCCGUGCCGUAGCUAACGCUUUAAGUACCCCGCCUGGGGAGUACGGCCGCAAGGCUAAAACUCAAAGGAAUUGACGGGGCCCCGCACAAGCGGCGGAGCAUGCGGAUUAAUUCGAUGCAACGCGUAGAACCUUACCUGGGUUUGACAUGGAUCGGGAGCGCUCAGAGAUGGGUGUGCCUCUUUUGGGGUCGGUUCACAGGUGGUGCAUGGCUGUCGUCAGCUCGUGUCGUGAGAUGUUGGGUUAAGUCCCGCAACGAGCGCAACCCUUGUUCACUGUUGCCAGCACGUUAUGGUGGGGACUCAGUGGAGACCGCCGGGGUCAACUCGGAGGAAGGUGGGGAUGACGUCAAGUCAUCAUGCCCCUUAUGUCCAGGGCUUCACGCAUGCUACAAUGGCUGGUACAGAGAGUGGCGAGCCUGUGAGGGUGAGCGAAUCUCGGAAAGCCGGUCUCAGUUCGGAUUGGGGUCUGCAACUCGACCUCAUGAAGUCGGAGUCGCUAGUAAUCGCAGAUCAGCAACGCUGCGGUGAAUACGUUCCCGGG